rnacentral:rRNA from 1 species
UACGAAGGGGGCUAGCGUUGCUCGGAAUGACUGGGCGUAAAGGGCGCGUAGGCGGAUGGCUUUGUCGGGCGUGAAAUUCCAGGGCUUAACCUUGGGGCUGCGUUCGAGACGGGUUGUCUUGAGUGGGGAAGAGGGUCGUGGAAUUCCCAGUGUAGAGGUGAAAUUCGUAGAUAUUGGGAGGAACACCUGCGGCGAAAGCGGCUCACUGGACCACAACUGACGCUGAGGCGCGAAAGCUAGGGGAGCAAACAGG